GAUGAACGCUGGCGGCGUGCCUAAUACAUGCAAGUCGAGCGAACAGACGAGGAGCUUGCUCCUCUGACGUUAGCGGCGGACGGGUGAGUAACACGUGGAUAACCUACCUAUAAGACUGGGAUAACUUCGGGAAACCGGAGCUAAUACCGGAUAACAUGUUGAACCGCAUGGUUCAACAGUGAAAGACGGUCUUGCUGUCACUUAUAGAUGGAUCCGCGCCGCAUUAGCUAGUUGGUAAGGUAACGGCUUACCAAGGCAACGAUGCGUAGCCGACCUGAGAGGGGGAUCGGCCACCCUGGAACUGAGACACGGUCCAGACUCCUACGGGAGGCAGCAGUAGGGAAUCUUCCGCAAUGGGCGAAAGCCUUACGGAGCAACGCCGCGUGAGUGAAGAAGGUCUUCGGAUCGUAAAACUCUGUUAUUAGGGAAGAACAAAUGUGUAAGUAACUAUGCACGUCUUGACGGUACCUAAUCAGAAAGCCACGGCUAACUACGUG
rnacentral:rRNA from 1 species